GAUGAACGCUGACAGAAUGCUUAACACAUGCAAGUCUACUUGAAUUUGGGUUUUUAACUUAGGUUUGGGUGGCGGACGGGUGAGUAACGCGUAAAGAACUUGCCUCACAGCUAGGGACAACAUUUAGAAAUGAAUGCUAAUGCCUAAUAUUAUGAUAAUAGGGCAUCCUAUAAUUAUGAAAGCUAUAUGCGCUGUGAGAGAGCUUUGCGUCCUAUUAGCUAGUUGGUAAGGUAAAGGCUUACCAAGGCGAUGAUAGGUAGCCGGCCUGAGAGGGUGGACGGCCACAAGGGGACUGAGAUACGGCCCUUACUCCUACGGGAGGCAGCAGUGGGGAAUAUUGGACAAUGGAGGAAACUCUGAUCCAGCAAUUCUGUGUGCGUGAAGAAGGUCUUCGGAUUGUAAAACACUUUUAGUUGGGAAGAAACAAAUGACG
rnacentral:rRNA from 1 species